rnacentral:misc_RNA from 1 species
GUUACUCAGUGUGUCAUUAUGACCAGCUUGUGUGUUUUUAUUGAGUUUUAGGGCACAAAUGAAUAUAUUUUUUACAUAUAUUUUAGUGAGAUUAAUAACUGUGACAAUAAUGCGUGCCGAACCUUUUAUACCCGACUAAUUAACAUCUUGGAAUCAUCACGGCUUCCUUAUCCUCCUCUCUGAUUGAGACCAACCAUGGAGGUUGGAGCACGUGCUUUGGAUGUGCUACCUCUCCUACAAGAGCGGGUUGCAGCACUUACUGGUGGCCGAGACAGACGUGGAGGGCCGAUAGUAUGGUUUCCAGCAAAUUCAAGACGAGACCGUGUAGCUCCAGAUGACUAUAGACGACUGUUGCAUUAUUUAAUCAGCAUACCUAGUGAUUCUGUGAGGACACAUGGCUUCACUAUCUUAAUUGAUAUGAGAGGUUCUGCAUGGGCUGCAAUAAAACCAAUAUUGAAAGUUCUACAAGAACAUUUCUCUUCAUCCGUCCAUCAGGCACUUGUAGUUAAGCCUGAUAAUUUCUGGCAAAAACAGCGCACAACGAUAGGAUCCCAUAAGUACAAGUUUGAGACGACGAUGAUUAGCCUAGAAGCACUGCCUAAAGUAAUAGAUAGUUCUCAAUUGACACCAGAUUUAGAUGGUACACUACAAUAUGAUCAUGCACAAUGGAUAGAUCUUAGACUGGCACUAGAAGACCUAAUGUGGCAAGCAGGAGAGUUAUUAGAUAGACUGGACGACCUGCAAGAAGAUGUUGCACGAGCUGAUUUUGCCGAUGACGUCACUGGAGCAAGGCGCGCUAUUGACGCUCAUGCUGAUAUUAGCAAACGGCUUGCUAAAGUACCCGUUGAUGAACUAGAAUCACAAGGCGAACGAGUCCUGCAACGCCUGGAAGCAGCUGAAGCCGCAUGUUCCGAAGCUAGCGGCAGUGGCGGCGAGUCGGCGUUCCACUGCGGCUCGCCGAGCGCGGUGCGCGCCCAACUGUCGGCGGUGCGCUCGGCGCACGCGCACGCGCACAAGCUGUGGCAGCACAAGAAGAUGCAGCUCGACCAGUGCUUCCAGUUGCGACUCUUUGAACAGGACUGUGAAAAGAUGCUAGAAUGGAUUGUCAACCAUCGCACAGCUUUCUUGUCGACAUACGUUGAAAUCGGAAGAUCGUGUGCUGCUGCCAAACGCCUUCAAGAAGAACAUGCUAGGUUCGCAGCAGCAUGCACGGGCGGUGGUCGGCCGAGUGUGGCUCGAGUGACGGCGGCAGCGCGUAGACUGGCAGACAAACGACACUACGCAGAGACUCAGAUUACGUCGCUUGCCCAUAGACUUGAACGGGCUUACAAACAACUGUCUGCAGGUCUAGAGGAGCGUUCGGCGGUGCUGUCGCUGUCGGUGGUGUUCCACCACAAGGCGGAGGCGUACGCGUCGGCGGUGGGCGGGUGGGGCGCGCAGUGCGCGGUCGCGCUGCAGCUGGCCACGGGGCAGGGCGGCGCGCCGUGCAGCGACCCGCGCGCGCUCGAGCAGCACGCGCAGCGGCACCGCCAGCUGUACGAGCACAUGUGUCAGGCGUACACCGAGGUUCAUUCAACAAGCAAAAAACUGUUGUACCAACUUGAUCAUUUAGUUCAAGUUUGCCAUCAGACAGAUCCUGCUGAUAUGAAGGAUGGUUCAGUAAGUUCAGCGGUCAGCAGUGGAGGAGAUCCAGCUGCUGACUACAGUUCCGGCGCUAAUCAUGUUCUCGCUGUCAUACAUCAGAUUCUAGGGCAUCAUAGAGCACUGGAGGCUAGGUACCACCAGGCGAGACUGAAGCUGCACCAGCGUUUGGCUUUAUUGCUGUACAAGGAAGAUUGUAGACAAGUCCUGGACUGGCUUACCAAUCACGGCGAGGUUUUCCUUCAGAAAAACACGGGCAUCGGUAGAAAUCUACAUAAGGCGAGAGUUUAUCAGAAAUCUCAUGAACACUUUGAAAAUGUUGCGCAAAACACGUACACAAACGCCGAGAAGCUUCUGUCAGCGGCGGAGGAGCUCGCGCGUUCCGGCGAGUGCGAUCCAGAAGAAGUGUUGGGCGUGGCUCGCGAGCUGGAAGCGCACGUGGCGGCGUUCGCGGCGCGUGUUGAUAGGCGUCGCCGCAGACUCGAUCUUGCCGUGCUGCUGUAUACGCACGAGAAAGAGCUGCUGCAGUGGCUGGAGACGCUGCGCGGCGGCGGCGGCGUGUGCCCCGCGGACGACAGCCCGGAGGCGGCGCGGCGCGCGCUCGAGCAGUGCGCGCAGCACCGCGCCGCCAGCCUCGACGCGUGCGCCGCCACAAUCGCGCAGGGCGAGGCGCUGCUGCAGGACCUCAGAUCAUCAGGGGAUUCGGAUACAGCGAGCACGUCAGCUGUGGAAACUACCCUGGAGCGUUUGCGGGGAACUCGGAGUGCCCUCGAGGAACUGUGGUCAGAUCGCGAGAGGCGUCUUGAACUCACUCUACAAUUGAGACAUUUCGAGAGGGAUGCACUAGAGGUGUCGUCUCGGCUUGAGUUAUGGGGCGACGAGUUGCAACGCAGUGAGCCUCCUCGCGACCCGCAACAGGCGGAACAAGCUCUCGCUGCUCACAACGAGAGCGUGGCUAGGAUGCAACAUGCUACCUUUCAGGUAGUUCAACAAGGCCAAGAGUUGGCUGCGGCGAUCGCAGAAGCAUCAGACGUGAUGGCGUCUAGCUCCGACAGUUCCGAGGGCGCCCCACUCGAUGCCCAGGCUCGCGUGCAGCUGCUGCUGGAGUUUCUGCAUGACAGGCAGCUGGACCUGGAGGAGCUCGCUGAAGAGAGACGGGCAAGAUUUGAGCAAUGCGUUCAACUGGGACAAUUUCAAAAAGACGCAGCUCAAGUUGUGAGCUGGAUACGCAACGGCGAAGCGAUGUUGGCUGCGUCCUUCUCCAUACCGGGGACAUUGUCUGAAGCUGAGCAAUUGAAACGCGAACACGAUCAAUUCCAAGUCGCCGUUGAGAAAACCCACGCUAGCGCUGUGCAAGUCAAAUACAGGGCGGACGCUCUACGUGCUGCUAAUCAUUAUGACCCGCAUACUAUAAGAGAGAUCUCUGAAGAGGUGACGGAGCGAUGGCAGCGACUGGUCACGUGCGCUGAAGAGCGUCACAAGCUCGUCACUGCAUCUCUCAACUUCUACAAGACGGCGGAACAAGUCUGCUCCGUGCUCGACUCGCUUGAGCGGGAAUACAGAAGGGAUGAAGAUUGGUGUGGUUCUGGUGCUGCUAUAUCCACCCCUACACCCAAUUGCGAUGAUACGCAGACACUGCAACAGAACUUGGACAAAGCGGCUCAGGUGGCCGCACUCAUCGUCAAGCAUGGCGAGCAGAAGGAGGCGUUCCUCAAAGCGUGCACGCUCGCCCGCCGCACUGCUGAGACGUUCCUCAAGUACGCGGCGAGGUCCGCACAGGUGCACGGGCAAACUGCCGCGGCAAGCAAGGCGCAUCAUGAACAAACACGCGCCAUACUUGACACUCUGCUUGCGCAAGAGAAUAAGGUCCUGGAGCACUGGACGGUGCGCAAGAAGCGCCUCGAGCAGUGCCAGCAGUUCGCGCUGUUUGAGCGAUCGGCGCGCGCGGCCGUGGAAUGGAUCCGCGAGACGCAGGAGCGGUGCGGCGCGGCGGCCGCGGCGGCGGCGGCGGGCGUGGCGCGCGAGAGCCGCGAGCGCGUGCGCCUGCUGGCGCAGCUCGCGGACGGCCUCGUGGAGAAGGGACACCCGCACGCGGUGCAGAUCAAGGAAUGGGUGGCCGCUGUCGAUGCUAGAUAUGCCGAGUUUAGCGGUUCCAUGGAAGGUGGUGAAGCAGAGGCUGAGAGCGAUUCCGGUGUGGCACCAUCGCUCGCGUCCACACAGUCAGAGAGUGAAGUGCGAGUGGAGCCGCAGCCACCGGCCGCGGGAGAUGAGAAGAGACGCAGCGCUAGAAGGAAGGAAUUUAUCAUGGCUGAGCUGCUGCAAACCGAGCGAGCUUAUGUCAAAGAUCUGGAAACCUGUAUCACUGGAUACUUGCGCGAGAUGCGCACCGAUCCCGCUUCAGUACCACCAGCGCUGCAGGGCAAGGAGGAGCUGAUAUUCGGCAACAUAGAGGAGAUCCAUCGUUUCCACGAGCGCAUAUUCCUGCGCGAGCUGGACAAGUACGAGGCGUGGCCGGAGGACGUGGGGCACUGCUUCGUGACGUGGGCGCGCCAGUUUGACAUGUACGUGUCGUACUGCCGCAACAAGCCGGACAGCAACGCGGCCGUCGUGCAGCACGCGGGCGAUUACUUCGAGAGAGUGCAACGUCGAAAGAAGUUAGAGCAUCCCCUGGCGGCAUAUCUCAUCAAGCCGGUGCAGAGAAUUACCAAAUAUCAACUGCUCCUGAAAGACUUACAAGCUUGCUGUGCUGAAGGCCAAGGAGAAAUCAAGGACGGGUUGGAUGUUAUGCUGUCCGUGCCCAAGAAGGCGAACGAUGCGAUGCACCUGUCCAACCUCGAGGGCUGUGACGUGCCGACGGACAGUCUCGGCGAAGUGGUCCUGCAGGACUCGUUCCAAGUGUGGGACCUUCGGCAGAUCAUCAAGAAGUGCCGCGAACGGAGAGUGUUCCUCUUCGACCUGCAUCUACUGCUCGCCAAGGAGGUCAAAGACACGCACGGAAAGGCGAAAUACAUUUACAAGACCAAGUUUAUGACAUCGGAGCUAGGUGUGACCGAGCACAUAGAGGGCGACGAGUGCAAGUUCUCGGUGUGGACGGGCCGCGAGCCGAUGGCCAGCGACUGCCGCAUCAUGCUCAAGGCGCCCUCGCUCGAGGUCAAGCAGACCUGGGUGCGCCGCCUCAGGGAAGUCAUACAGGAAACUUACUUCAGUGGAGCGCUUCAUCAACCGCCUCGCAGUCCCGCUCGAGUUCGACCUACGAGCUCUCAGAGGUCCAGUCGCGAUUUCGAAGACACGGACACUGAAAAUCUGGAUCGCAAUUCGCUGGCUUCCUUCGGCAGCGGGAAUACCACGGACUCAGACAAGGCUGGACCGGAAAUGACAUGGGUGGUCGCGGAGCAUACGUCCGGUGGCGCUGGCGAGCUGACCGUGUCGAAGGGCCAACAAGUUGAAGUGCUGGAGUCGUGGCAGGUGCGCCCCGACUGGUGGGUGGUGAGGAUCCACGGUGAUCCGCCGCAAGAGGGCGCCGUGCCCGCCCAAGUGCUGAAACCGCAGCCCCACCACAAAACGUCGCCUUCACGACAACCGCUGGCAGCCGCCGAUGACGGAAUAGAGGCGUCGUCUUCGGAUCCCGGAGGGGCGGUGAGCGUGGCCAGUCCUGGAAAACACCGAAAGGGGAUAAUACCGAGGCGGUGGAUUCCGCGUCCGAGCAAGUCGCAAGGAAAAGCUGAAAAAGCGUUGGCCGGAGCGAAGUCGCCCGCAGAAAAACCAGCUCUGAAGAAAGUGUUGUCUGAAAAGAAACUCAAGAAUCUGGUUGUGCAGUUGCCGUACACGGACAACGGGCGCGCCGAGGAGGCCGGCGAGGGGAGCGCGGCCGCCGCGCUGGACGAGGGGGAGGACGACGCGCCCGACGUCGAGCUGCCGCCGCCGAUGAAGCCGCUACAGAACCCGCCCGUCCUGCAGCAGCCGCCAACGCCCGCGGCGGCCGCGGCGGUGCCCACCACGCGCAACUCGUUGGCAAUGGACGCGCUGGAAACUAACGGUGGUCCCGCGGAUAUCGCCGAGAUAGAACAAAUUGUCAAGGAAAAAAUGGAACAGCACGGUGGAGCCGCUACCACUUCAGGUCGUGCGGAAGGCGACGAAGAGCCAAGUUCCGCAACUCCCGGCGCUGAGAGCAGCGAGAGCACUCUAAAGAAACGUGAAUACGUACUUCGAGAGCUAUAUGAAACCGAAGAGGUAUACGUCUCUGAUCUCAGACUCGUCUGCGAGGGAUAUAUGAAGCACAUGAUGGAUCCAAACGCUGACCCACCAAUCCCAGAAGGUCUCCGCGAUCGUCGGUUGCGCAUGAUCUUUGGAAAUAUCGAGGCUAUUUACGAAUGGCAUCGCGAUAAGUUCCUCCGUGAGCUGGAAGGAUGUAUCGAGUCCCCGGAGUUGUUGGGGCCACUGUUCCGGCGAUUCCUCGAGAAAAAAAUGUUCCUGUACGAAGCUUACUGCCGCAACAAGCCGGUGUCUGAGUACAUUGUGUCAGAACACGAACAUUACUUCCAGGAGCUUAGACAUAAACUGGGACACAAAUUGCAGCUCGGCGAUCUGCUGAUCAAGCCGAUCCAGCGCAUCCAGAAGUACCACUUGCUCGUGAAGAAGAUCUUGAGCUACUCGGAGGUGGCCAACGAGCCGCCCAACGUGAUAGACUCGCUGCGCGACGCAGUGCAGUGCACUUCCAUUAUACCCAAGAACGCUAACGACAUGAUGGACGUGGGACGACUCCAAGGCUUUACGGGCAACAUAGCGGCGCAGGGCAAGCUGCUGUUCCAGGAGCCGCUGUUCGUGUCGGAGGGCUCCAGCGACAAGGGCAAGGAGCUGCACGUGUUCCUGUUCCAGCAGUGCAUGAUAUUCACGGAGCCGGUCGGCAAGCGGACCCAGUUCACCAGCCCCACGUAUCACUAUAAGGCGCAUGUGCAGUUGCAGGUGAACAAGAUGCGGCUGGAGCACGAGGAGGGCAGCGGCGUGUUCGUGGUGCACUCGGUGAGCGGCAAGGAGCGGCCGCGCUCGUUCGUGUGCCGCGCGCCCGAGGCCCGCCGCCACCACUGGAUCUCGACGCUCUCCAGCAUCCUCGAGUCGCAGCUGAUAUUCGGCUUCCGCCUCGAGAACCCCAGCGCGUUCAUGAACGACGAGCCCGCGAGGGAGCCCGCCGCUGAGUGUUGGUGGGGGCUCCGCAAGACGGAGAGCGUGCCGCCGUCGCUGGGCGAGCGGCUGGCGCCCGAGCUGGGCGCGCGCACGCAGCGGCCGCACGCCAAGGCCAACACCAUCAACCUGCCGAGCAGCGCGCGCGACGACCACAAGAAGGCGUCGCCCGCCUCGCCCACCGCGCCCGCCGCCGCGAGCCCCACCUCGCCGCCGCACGCCAACGUAUGAUAUACACGGGAAUGCAUUUUUAACAUAGACUGUGAUAGCGGAUCGAUAAGAUGACUGCGAUAUUGUGUUAAGUGUUAAAUGCCGCCAAACAUUAAAUUAAGCUAUAUCUAUUUAUUGUAUUAGUAUAAAAAGUAUCUAGUGAGCGGGAGACGCCCGGGAAUAAGAGAAAACGGGCUUGUCGAAACGGGCGUGGGGGCUGAAGCUGCGGCGCGGCGGCGGCGGGAGCGGCGGCGAGCCCAGUGAGGGCGUCGUCACUGAGCUUCGGCCGCCCGAGCUGCUGGAGCCCGCCGCCGACGUGGCGGUCGCGCUCGGCGCC